rnacentral:rRNA from 1 species
AUUGAACGCUGGCGGCAUGCUUUACACAUGCAAGUCGAACGGUAACAGGCCGCAAGGUGCUGACGGGUGGCGAACGGGUGAGUAAUGCAUCGGAACGUGCACAGUCGUGGGGGAUAACUACUCGCAAGAGUAGCUAAUACUGCAUACGAUCUAUGGAUGAAAGCGGGGGACCGUAAGGCCUCGCGCGAUUCUAGCGGCGGAUGUCGGAUUAGGUAGUUGGUGGGGUAAAGGCUCACCAAGACAACGAUCUGUAGCUGGUCUGAGAGGACGACCAGCCACACUGGGACUGAGACACGGCCCAGACUCCUACGGGAGGCAGCAGUGGGGAAUUUUGGACAAUGGGCGGAAGCCUGAUCCAGCAAUGCCGCGUGCAGGAAGAAGGCCUUCGGGUUGUAAACUGCUUUUGUACGGAACGAAACGGCUCUGGUUAAUACCCGGGGGUAAUGACGGUACCGUAAGAAUAAGCACCGGCUAACUACGUG